AUUGAACGCUGGCGGAAUGCUUUACACAUGCAAGUCGAACGGCAGCACGGACUUCGGUCUGGUGGCGAGUGGCGAACGGGUGAGUAAUGUAUCGGAACGUGCCCAGUCGUGGGGGAUAACGUAGUGAAAAUUACGCUAAUACCGCAUACGAUCUAUGGAUGAAAGCGGGGGAUCGCAAGACCUCGCGCGAUUGGAGCGGCCGAUAUCAGAUUAGGUAGUUGGUGGGGUAAAGGCCCACCGCGCCAACGAUCUGUAGCUGGUCUGAGAGGACGACCAGCCACACUGGAACUGAGACACGGUCCAGACUCCUACGGGAGGCAGCAGUGGGGAAUUUUGGACAAUGGGCGAAAGCCUGAUCCAGCCAUUCCGCGUGCAGGAUGAAGGCCCUCGGGUUGUAAACUGCUUUUGUACAGAACGAAAAGGUUUCUACUAAUACUAGGAGCUCAUGACGGUACUGUAAGAAUAAGCACCGGCUAACUACGUGCCAGCCGCAGUAACAC
rnacentral:rRNA from 1 species